rnacentral:rRNA from 1 species
UGGUCUGAGAGGACGACCAUUCACAGUGGAACUGAGACACUGUCCAGACUCCUACGGGAGGCAGCAUUGGGGAAUUUUGGACAAUGGGCGCAAGCCUGAUCCAGCAAUGCCGCGUGCAGGAUGAAGGCCUUCGGGUUGUAAACUGCUUUUGUACGGAACGAAACGGUCUGCUCUAAUACAGCGGGCUAAUGACGGUACCGUAAGAAUAAGCACCGGCUAACUACGUGCCAGCAGCCGCGGUAAUACGUAGGGUGCGAGCGUUAAUCGGAAUUACUGGGCGUAAAGCGUGCGCAGGCGGUUAUAUAAGACAGAUGUGAAAUCCCCGGGCUCAACCUGGGACCUGCAUUUGUGACUGUAUAGCUAGAGUGCGGCAGAGGGGGAUGGAAUUCCGCGUGUAGCAGUGAAAUGCGUAGAUAUGCGGAGGAACACCGAUGGCGAAGGCAAUCCCCUGGGCCUGCACUGACGCUCAUGCACGAAAGCGUGGGGAGCAAACA